GACGAACGCUGGCGGCGUGCUUAACACAUGCAAGUCGAACGGAAAGGCCCUGCUUUUGUGGGGUGCUCGAGUGGCGAACGGGUGAGUAACACGUGAGUAACCUGCCCUUGACUUUGGGAUAACUUCAGGAAACUGGGGCUAAUACCGGAUAGGAGCUCCUGCUGCAUGGUGGGGGUUGGAAAGUUUCGGCGGUUGGGGAUGGACUCGCGGCUUAUCAGCUUGUUGGUGGGGUAGUGGCUUACCAAGGCUUUGACGGGUAGCCGGCCUGAGAGGGUGACCGGCCACAUUGGGACUGAGAUACGGCCCAGACUCCUACGGGAGGCAGCAGUGGGGAAUAUUGCACAAUGGGCGGAAGCCUGAUGCAGCAACGCCGCGUGCGGGAUGACGGACUUCGGGUUGUAAACCGCUUUCGCCUGUGACGAGGCGUGAGUGACGGUAAUGGGUAAAGAAGCACCGGCUAACUACGUG
rnacentral:rRNA from 1 species